GACGAACGCUGGCGGCGUGCCUAAUACAUGCAAGUCGAGCGAGCGGAACUAACAGAUUUACCUCGGUAAUGACGUUAGGAAAGCGAGCGGCGGAUGGGUGAGUAACACGUUGGGAACCUGCCCCAUAGUCUGGGAUACCACUUGGAAACAGGUGCUAAUACCGGAUAAGAAAGCAGAUCGCAUGAUCAGCUUUUAAAAGGCGGCGUAAGCUGUCGCCAUGGGAUGGCCCCGCGGUGCAUUAGCUAGUUGGUAAGGUAAAGGCUUACCAAGGCGAUGAUGCAUAGCCGAGUUGAGAGACUGAUCGGCCACAUUGGAACUGAGACACGGCCCAGACUCCUACGGGAGGCAGCAGUAGGGAAUCUUCCACAAUGGACGAAAGUCUGAUGGAGCAACGCCGCGUGAGUGAAGAAGGUUUUCGGAUCGUAAAGCUCUGUUGUUGGUGAAGAAGGAUAGAGGUAGUAACUGGCCUUUAUUUGACGGUAAUCAACCAGAAAGUCACGGCUAACUACGUG
rnacentral:rRNA from 1 species